rnacentral:rRNA from 1 species
AUUGACCGCUGGCGGCAGGCCUAACACAUGCAAGUCGAGCGAGCGGCGGACGGGUGAGUAAUGUAUGGGGACUGCCCGCUAGAGGGGGAUAACUACUGGAAACGGUGGCUAAUACCGCAUACUAUCGGAUACCCCAUAUGGGAUUAGCUGGUAGGUGGGGUAAAGGCUCACCUAGGCGACGAUCGCUAGCUGGUCUGAGAGAAUGAUCAGCCACAGUGGGACUGAGACACGGCCCAAACUCCUCCGGAGGAAGCAGUGGGAAAUAUUGCACAAGGGGCGAAAGCCUGAUGCAGCCAGGCGGCGUGUAGGAAGAAGGCCUUAGGGUGGUAAAGUACUUUCAGCGGGGAGGCGUUACCCGCAUAGGAAGCACCGGCUAACUCCGUGCCAGCAGCCGCGGUAAUAC